ACAGGAAAUCAAGUCAUCAAAUCCUACAAGUUUCAAGCAAGCAUCCUCACACAGAUAAUUGUACUAUUACAGCUGUAAAACACUUGACUGCAGUGUCUUACAUUUCCAUACCUGAAAAGAAAAAAGAAAAGAAAAAGAAACUCCAGCAAACAGGCAAGCUGUGUUUUUUUUCCCCCCCACCUUAUUUCCCACGGUCAUUACCCUGAUUUUUUUUCACCUCACUUUGCCAUAGUUUCGGAAGUCAACAGAGCUAUAUAUAUAUAUAUAUAUAUCUACUUUCGAAUGGAGGGCAGUCUGCCCAAUCUUAAACAUAUCCCAGCUGUGCUCCUGUUUUGAGUCUGGUCCAAGUAGCCCCCCUCCCACCCUUCAUUGAAGGCAGUUUGGCUCUGGAUGAAUGACACAAGAAAUGAAGGAAGUAAUUUCACAACAGCUGUGGAGAGUAAAAACUGUGUAUAGUUGUACAUAGUCCAUAACUUGGCAGAUUCAGUUUAAAAAGCUGGAAAUAAAGGUCACAUUCUGGAUCUUUACUCACACUCCAUCAAAACUGUAUCACACGAUAAAAAAUUAGGCACCCCAAGAUGAUCUGCUUAAACAAAUAAAUGUAGACCCAUGAGCUACUUUGGGUGGAAUCCCCACAAGCGCACCUUGCCGACAAGAGCAUCCUCAGCUCAAUGGCAACCCAUCUGUCCAAAUAAUAAACAAAAAUAAAAAGCCUUAUGUGACACUUUGCACAUCCAAGAUAAUCAAGUGAAUAAGAGCAGCACAUGGCUAAUCUGCAUAAGACAGAGAGGAAACUCCCUUGGCGGGUGAGAGAUGGUGGACUGCCUUCUGAUUGGCUUUGGGGGAGGAUUGGGGGGAAAUUCUCUGCAGUUAAACUUGUGUGGCAGGCCAGACACAGCAGCAAGGAGAGAACACACACAUACACCCUCGUGGGGAAAGCUCAAAUUUGCCUUUUGUGCUACUGUGUGUGUAUUAAAAAAACAAAACAAAAAACAUCCAUGUGUUUAUAGCAUUAGCUCAGGAAUUUAAAAAAAUAUAUGGUAUAUCAGUAAAUAAGAGCCCAUUUACCCAUGAUGUGAACUUUACUGUGUUAACAGUGUCUGAAUUACAUUCAAACACUAAAACAAACUACUUACAGCCCUUUUGUGGUGUAACAAGCUGCACCCAGAGCCCACAGCAACACAUUUGGCAUUUUUGGUCAAUAUCAGCAAAUGAUGGAAGCAAAACUAUAAAUCCACACAUUAUUCAGGUGCCAGCUGCUCCAACAGUGGAUGUUUUUGCAAGUAAGAAGUGGAGCUUAGAGGAGGAGAGAAGCAGCAAAAAAAUAAAAUCUCUGGUGACCCUGUGAUGAGUUAAUGCUAUGUGCUCUUAUCAGCAACUGUUGCCUUGCAUCACAUGUAAUUAUAAAUGGCCAUGAGCAGCGGAUGAGGAGCCAAUCAGAUUUCAGCUAGCAUGUCAACCCAAGACCAACUAUCUCCUGGCUUUGACAGUAGGAUUUUACCUCCACAAUUCAAAUCCCAGUGCAAACUGCAAUCUGCUGACUGCAUUCAAGUCACUCAUAAAAAGCAGGGAUGAUUGUUUACAGGCGGCGUGCAUGCGGAGAAGCCGAGCGGCUUUUCAGCACGGGGAAAUUCUUUUUUAAUCAAUAUAUGACCCAAACUAACAGUUUUAACCUUUCCCCAGCGAGCAAACUGUGAUAUUUACGCAAUUUAAACAAGACCAACAUGAGCCAUUUUAACCAACUGUGCGAGACUCGCUCGACACGAAACGCAUUCCUUCCGUCAUGGCCACCGAAAUACAGUUUAUCGCACAAGAAAACAACACAAACACGAAGGCACCUCCUGUAAAUCUUUAUAUUUGGCAUCAAACCAGAUGAGUCACCGUGAGUCACCACGA